UACGUAGGGCGCAAGCGUUAUCCGGAAUUAUUGGGCGUAAAGAGCUCGUAGGCGGUUUGUCGCGUCUGCAGUGAAAGUCCGGGGCUCAACUCCGGAUCUGCGGUGGGUACGGGCAGACUAGAGUGAUGUAGGGGAGACUGGAAUUCCUGGUGUAGCGGUGAAAUGCGCAGAUACCAGGAGGAACACCGAUGGCGAAGGCAGGUCUCUGGGCAUUAACUGACGCUGAGGAGCGAAAGCAUGGGGAGCGAACAGG
rnacentral:rRNA from 1 species